GGGGUUGUACAGGUUUCGACAGGGAUUUAGAGAUUCCGGCAGCUAUCCGUGGACCCGAGACCACGUUAAAACUUGGAAAAAAAUAAACGCUGAAGAUAAUUUAGCACUCGCUGCCUAAUUAGGCAGCUGUCAGUUCUUUUGUAAUCCGCGGCAUUAGAAACUGGCAUCAAAUUAGCGGAGAACUUUCUUCCCAAAGCUUUGAGGGCGGGAAAGAAUUUAUGAAGCUACUGAAAUAGUAAGCCUGUCUUUUGGCGCACUACGUAGGGAAUCUUAAAUAAAAGACUGUGAUAGGAGACACCUGAAUUAAAGAGUCUUUGGACGCGGGUUCGAUUCCCGCCAGCUCCACU
rnacentral:sRNA from 1 species